CCCCUCUCGGGAUCGUAUCUGGAGUUUCCAGUACGCUACCAGGCUCGGCUAUGGGAGGGAGAGUCGAGCCGAGACAUAUCCAUUCCAUUCCUAGCUUGGUCAGUGGCUAGCGAGUGGAAGGCCAUCUGCUACAAGU